rnacentral:rRNA from 1 species
AUGAAUAGGGGGGUCUCUUCCUCAUUUAACAAAUGUCUGGAACUUUGGAUUAAGAAUUGGUGGAAUACCAGGCAAUCCGAAACUCUCUUAACUUAUAUUCAAGAGAAAAGGAUUCUAGAAAGAUUCAUAGAAUUAGAAGAACUUUCUCUCUUGGACGAGAUGAUAAAAGGGAAACUAAAGACACAUGUACAAAAACCUCCUACAGGAAUACACAAGGAAAUCCGCGGGUCCUUUCCGCUCUAA